rnacentral:rRNA from 1 species
UACGAAGGGGGCUAGCGUUGUCCGGAAUUAUUGGGCGUAAAGAGCUCGUAGGCGGUUUGUUGCGUCGGCUGUGAAAUCCCGAGGCUCAACCUCGGGUCUGCAGUCGAUACGAGCAAACUAGAGUGUUGCAGGGGAGACUGGAAUUCCUGGUGUAGCGGUGAAAUGCGCAGAUAUCAGGAGGAACACCGGUGGCGAAGGCGGGUCUCUGGGCAACAACUGACGCUGAGGAGCGAAAGCGUGGGGAGCGAACAGG